AACUAGCCCUGAUGGAAGCGACAGCUCCCGAUUUAGAAAACAAGGCUUUUUUGCUGCAGUUUUCUAAAUCGGGACUAUAGCGGACAGCAGGAGUGUGG
rnacentral:sRNA from 1 species